rnacentral:rRNA from 1 species
GAUGAACGCUGGCGGCGUGCCUAAUACAUGCAAGUCGAGCGAACAGACGAGGAGCUUGCUCCUCUGACGUUAGCGGCGGACGGGUGAGUAACACGUGGAUAACCUACCUAUAAGACUGGGAUAACUUCGGGAAACCGGAGCUAAUACCGGAUAAUAUACUGAACCGCAUGGUUCAAUAGUGAAAGACGGUUUUGCUGUCACUUAUAGAUGGAUCCCGGCCGCAUUAGCUAGUUGGUAAGGUAACGGCUUACCACGGCAACGAUGCGUAGCCGACCUGAUAGGGUGGUCGGCCACACUGGAGCGGAGACAGGGACCAGAGUCCUACGGGAGGCAGCAGUAGGGAAUCGGCGGCAGUAGGCGAAAGCCUGACGGAGCAAGGCCGAGUGAGUGAUGAAAAUCUUCGGAUCGUAAAAAUCUGUUAUUAGGGAAGAACAAAUGUGUAAGUAACUGUGCACGGCUUGACGGUACCUAAUAAGAAAGCCACGGCUAACUACGUG